rnacentral:rRNA from 1 species
GAUUAACGCUAGCGGCAGGCAUAAUACAUGCAAGUUGAACGGCAGCACAGGUAGCACUACUGGGUGGCGAGUGGCGCACGGGUGCGUAACACGUAUGCAACCUACCCUAUACAGGCGAAUAACCUUUAGAAAUGAGGGCUAAUACGCCGUAGUAUUACAGAUGGGCAUCUAUUUGUAAUUAAAGAUUUAUCGGUAUAGGAUGGGCAUGCGUCCCAUUAGUUAGUUGGUAAGGUAACGGCUUACCAAGACGAUGAUGGGUAGGGGAUCUGAGAGGACUUACCCCCACACUGGUACUGAGACACGGACCAGACUCCUACGGGAGGCAGCAGUAAGGAAUAUUGGGCAAUGGCCGCGAGGCUGACCCAGCCAUGCCGCGUGCAGGAAGACGGCCUUAUGGGUUGUAAACUGCUUUUAUACGGGAAUAAUAGAGUGUACGCGUACAUUUAUGCAAGUAUCGUAUGAAUAAGCAGCGGCUAACUCCGUG